AUUUGUAUUAACAGUAUCUACGGUUUUUAGCAUUUUUGUUCACUAGUUCAAAGCCCGACACAAACUUCAUUUAGCCUAACUUCACAGAUUGUUGACAUAUGUCUGGCACGACAUUUUCAUUUAGCUAUUCUUUUUCUAUAUUUUACUCGUGCGAUGUCAUGAUUUUCUAUGUAAACCAUCGCACUGUGUACAGCUAAUUAUUGAAAACUAGUUUUGUAUACAUUGUACUAAAUAACCCGUUUUGAAAUAUAUACAUGCUUAAAGCACUCAAAUAGUUCGUCAGUGUCUGUUGCACGAUUUUCUCGUGCUACCGGCAAAUGAGCGGGAAAUUACAUGUAACAUGAAACUAUACAAGUGUUAGUUUGUAUAUACGUAACAAAGCAAAUGACACAAAGUAACUGAUAACAUAGAAUUCAUAUUACACAUGUUAAAGCAUAUUGCACGUGGAGCAUAUGGAACACCAGGGGACGUUACUCUGGUCACACUUCCUGCAUGGAAACGGAGGCAGACCUCUACAAUAUACAGUAGAGUUGUUUUAUUGUUGAUUAUGUCAGAGGCCUGUGAAUUCGUAUAAAAUAUAUUCAGUGUUGCUAAUAAUGAGGUGAAUCGUUUCCUCAGAUGAUCAUGUCACUUAAAGGUGAAGAGGUCCUUCGAUUUUGUUUAUAAUUCCUUGGCCAGCUGAGUAAUGGGUUCUGUAUAAAAAGCUCAAUUACAUCAAUAAGUUUCAUGACCAACCAAGGUGCCACCAGCUACCAGUAUAGAGCUUGGUCAGAUUGUAUGGAUGUACAGCUUAGCCUGGAUCUGUCAUACCGGUAUCAGUAAAAGUAUGACCAUUUUGCAACUGGUUUUAAAAAAAAUAAACAUAUGUCAUAUGGGACUGGGACUCGGACCCAGGACCCUUAAAAUA